AAAGCGGUGAGUCGUUAAGGUCUAUCUUGCGAGUCUUCCCUCGGAAGAAGCCUCUCUCGUUCACCGCUUCCGUUUGCGGCUUAUAAGAGGCGGCCGUUUGGUCUCCAUCCGAUAAUCCAACAAUGGAGCCGGCCGAAUCUUCUCGCAGCAAAGAAGACUCCGACGUCUGGGCCAAACUAGUGCCCACUGAUUCCACGUAUCCCCCGAUAGAGAUAAGAUCGCGGGAGGCCGUCAUAUGUUCGGAGAUUACGAGCUCGUCGAUUGAGAAGCAUCCAUGGUGCGAGAUAAAGUGGAAUCCGGACAAAGAUUCGGCGAUGAUUAGAAACUUGAGUUCAAAUGUCAUCAUCAUUGAUGGGAAAGUUGUUGGAGAAGAAACAGUGAACAUUAUAAGUGGCAGUGAAAUCACUUCAGGACCUGAUAGAGAAGUAUUCUUGACCUAUAUUUUUGAGGCAAUGCCUUCUCACAGAAACAAUGAAAAAAUAAUAGAGAUAUCAUUAGAUGUCGAGCAUGCAAAAUGCAGCAUAUGCUUAAACAUAUGGCAUGAUGUUGUGACAGUUGCUCCUUGUCUCCAUAACUUCUGUAAUGGGUGCUUCUCAGAAUGGUUAAGAAGGUCAUCUACCAAGUUCAACAAUAGAGCACAAAGUGUUGUAUGUCCACAAUGCAGAGCAGUUGUAUUUUCAGUUGGAAGAAAUCAUUUUUUGCAUAAUAUUGAAGAGGCUAUCUUGCAAACAUUUUCGUCUCUAAAGCGUUCCGAUGAAGAAAUUGCUUUAUUGAAUACUUAUGCUUCAAUUAAGUCUAAUAUUGUUGUGGGCAUGCACACAUCUAGAAAGAGGCCACACUCACUUUCUAAUGAUGACAGCAACGAAAUUGCGCUUCCAUGUCCUCAAUGUGGAAAUGAACUUGGUGGAUUUAGAUGCAACAGAACUACCACUCACUUGCACUGUCAAGGAUGUGGUGGAAUGAUGCCUUUUAGAUCUGAUUCUGUUGUACCACAAAAGUGCUUAGGAUGCGAUAGAGCAUUCUGUGGGGCUUACUGGGCUGCUCAAGGUGUAGAUGCAAGGGAAUUCAACAUGAUUUGCCAUCACGAAACAUUCAAACCUGUCUCAGAGCGUACAAUUUCAAGAAUUCCUGAGUUGGUUCACCAGAAUAAUCAAUUUGAAAGAGAUAUCACAGAAAGGUGUAUACAGCGAACAGGGAAGACACUGCAGGCUGUCAUCUCAGAUUGGAUCAUAAAGUUUGACAAUAAAGAACUUGGUAAUGUUCCAUUUGCAUGAUAGAACAAACCUGCAAUUGAAUCAUGUGGAGAUGAUCACUCCCAUGACACACCUUUGCAAGUCAAGAAAUCUCAGUGGAGCCAGUGACCAUUGUAUCUGCUUUCAAGAUAGAAGCAUAGCUUAGUUGUGGAUAAUCCAUGCAUAUUAGACACACAGAGAGAGUGUAUCAGAUUCUGAAUUCUGAAGUCCUGCCUAUCUUGAUAGAUUGUAUAUUGGUCACAAUCUUUCUGCAUGUACACAGAUCCUGCCAAUCAGGGAUUGAUGGUGUAGGGUAGUUAAGAAUCUAACCUUUAGUAAAAAUUUCAUUUGAAUUCUUGUCGGCUGGCGGGAAGAUUUAUCAUGCUUGAUUAUCUUUUACAAUGCAAUCAUACAAUAUCAUUUUUGUGUUUACUAAGAAUUGGCCAGUGUGAGUGGAUAAUUCUCUUUCCACUUGACAAAAGAGGAGCCGGAAGUGGGGAACUGUAUUGCCUGAAUCUUGAUCAAAGGAAUCUUAAGAGAGGUGAUUGGUGGUGAACAGUGGUCAGUAGAGGGAUUUGAAUAAAAGUCAAAAAAUGAAAGGCCCAGCUGCGUAACAUCAAAGCAUUUUUUAGUACUUGCAGACUUACACCACAUGGGACUCAUUUUUUUCGAACCUUGGCUGUACUUUGGCAAUAAAGCAAGUAGCUUGUUUGACUAACAAGUGAUAUUAAGAGAUGUCUUUUUUAUUAGAUCACACAUUUAUUGACGAUUGAUGGCUCUAGUAGGACCGUAAGUUAGUGAUAUCAAGAGAUGUCAUUUUUUAUGAGAUCACAGAUUUAUUGAAGAUUGACGGCUCUAAUAGGACCUUCUUCCAAUUCGUUUAUCGCCUGAUGAAAUGCAUUGCCCCAAACUUUUAGUCAUGCUGCUUAAUAAAUAUAAUGCUACUUAAUCAAUAUAAUACACUUUUAAACAAUCUAAAUAUAGUUUUUUUUGUUUUGUUUAUGUUACUAUAUGGAAACAGUUGUCAGUUUUAUGUUAAACCUGGAUGAAGCUGUUAAAUGUGUUACAUAUGAGCUCAGUCUAUGUUUUCAGCUCUUCAUUCUCUGCUCAAACUGAAUUCUGUUUGAGAAAAUAGUUCAAUUGAUUAUUGGCAUACUUAUGUUCUGGUUUGGCACAAACUUGUUUCAAGGGUCUUUUUCAUUAGCAAGGGAUUUGAAGGGAAAGGGAACAUGUUCGAGGGGUAUUUAUAGUUUGUUGACAUUUAAGGGUGAGAUGAUGAGGUUACUUGUGGGCUACUUCUAAAAUUUUCCAUGACCCUCAAAUUACUUUACAGAUGAAAAA